rnacentral:rRNA from 1 species
AAGAGUGGAAAGCGGCGGACGGGUGAGUAACGCGUAGGCAACCUGCCCCUUGCAGAGGGAUAGCCUCGGGAAACCGGGAUUAAAACCACAUAAAUCCUUUUUAUCGCAUGAUAGAGAGGACAAAGAUUUAUCGGCAAGGGAUGGGCCUGCGUCUGAUUAGUUAGUUGGUGGGGUAACGGCCUACCAAGGCGACGAUCAGUAGCCGACCUGAGAGGGUGAACGGCCACAUUGGAACUGAGACACGGUCCAA